UACGGAGGGUGCAAGCGUUAUCCGGAUUCACUGGGUUUAAAGGGCGCGUAGGCGGUCGGUCAAGUCCGGGGUGAAAUCCUGCAGCUCAACUGUAGAAGUGCCUUGGAUACUGACUGGCUCGAGGGAGGUAGGGGUCUGUGGAACUUCUGGUGGAGCGGUGAAAUGCGUUGAUAUCAGAAGGAACGCCGGUGGCGAAAGCGACAGACUGGACCUUUUCUAACGCUGAGGCGCGAAAGCUAGGGGAGCAAACGGG
rnacentral:rRNA from 1 species